rnacentral:rRNA from 1 species
AGGAUUAACGCUGGCGGCGUGCCUAACACAUGCAAGUCGAACGAGGUAGCAAUACCUAGUGGCAGACGGGUGAGUAGCGCGUGGUCAACCUACCGUUGAGUGGGGGAUAACUAGCCGAAAGGUUAGCUAAUACCGCAUACGUCUCCGAGGGGCAUCCCUUGGUGAUAAAAGGAGCAAUCCGCUCGAUGACGGGACCGCGUCCCAUUAGCUAGUUGGUGGGGUAACGGCCUACCAAGGCAUCGAUGGGUAGCUGGUUUGAGAGAGCGACCAGCCACACUGGGACUGAGAUACGGCCCAGACUCCUACGGGAGGCAGCAGUGAGGAAUUUUCCGCAAUGGGCGAAAGCCUGACGGAGCGACGCCGCGUGUGGGAAGAAGGCCUUCGGGUCGUAACCACUGUCGAAGGGGAAGAUAAUGACGGUACCCUUGGAGGAAGCCCCGGCUAACUACGCGCCAGCAGCCGC